ACUUAAAUAGUUUAAAAAAAUAAAAAUUUUAAUUUGUGAUAUUAAAGAUAUAAAUUAUAUUAUUUUAAGUU
rnacentral:tRNA from 1 species